rnacentral:misc_RNA from 1 species
UGGAAGUAAAAGUCGUAACAAGGUCUCCGUAGGUGAACCUGCGGAGGGAUCAUUACAAGUGACCCCGGUUUACCACCGGGAUGUUCAUAACCCUUUGUUGUCCGACUCUGUUGCCUCCGGGGCGACCCUGCCUUCGGGCGGGGGCUCCGGGUGGACACUUCAAACUCUUGCGUAACUUUGCAGUCUGAGUAAACUUAAUUAAUAAAUUAAAACUUUUAACAACGGAUCUCUUGGUUCUGGCAUCGAUGAAGAACGCAGCGAAAUGCGAUAAGUAAUGUGAAUUGCAGAAUUCAGUGAAUCAUCGAAUCUUUGAACGCACAUUGCGCCCCCUGGUAUUCCGGGGGGCAUGCCUGUUCGAGCGUCAUUUCACCACUCAAGCCUCGCUUGGUAUUGGGCAACGCGGUCCGCCGCGUGCCUCAAAUCGACCGGCUGGGUCUUCUGUCCCCUAAGCGUUGUGGAAACUAUUCGCUAAAGGGUGUUCGGGAGGCUACGCCGUAAAACAACCCCAUUUCUAAGGUUGACCUCGGAUCAGGUAGGGAUACCCGCUGAACUUAAGCAUAUCAAA